rnacentral:misc_RNA from 1 species
GAAAUGCGAUAAGUAAUGUGAAUUGCAGAAUUCAGUGAAUCAUCGAAUCUUUGAACGCACCUUGCGCCCCUUGGUAUUCCGAGGGGCAUGCCUGUUUGAGUGUCAUGUUAAUCUCAAACCUCGGGUCUUUUUAACUAGAGACCUGUUCGGUUUGGACUUGGAGGUUACUGCUGGCUCCCUUCUGUGGUCGGCUCCUCUGAAAUGCAUUAGCUGGACUUUGGUUCGCAUCUACGGUGUAAUAGUAACUUGUAUUCGCCGGGUGCUUACCUAGGGAGUCCGCUUCUAAUCGCCCCCCUCGGGCAAGGUCUCCUUUUGUGACCUUCUUGAACACUUUGACCUCAAAUCAGGUAGGACUACCCGCUGAACUUAA